rnacentral:tRNA from 1 species
GGAGAGAUGGCCGAGUGGUCGAAGGCGCUCCCCUGCUAAGGGAGUAU